rnacentral:rRNA from 1 species
GACGAACGCUGGCGGCGUGCUUAACACAUGCAAGUCGAACGAUGACGACCGAGCUUGCUCGGUCUGAUUAGUGGCGAACGGGUGAGUAACACGUGAGCAACCUGCCCUUCACUCUGGGAUAACCUCGGGAAAUCGGGGCUAAUACCGGAUAUGAGCUCCUGUCGCAUGGCGGGUGUUGGAAAGUUUUUCGGUGAAGGAUGGGCUCGCGGCCUAUCAGUUUGUUGGUUAGGUAGUGGCUCACCAAGGCGAUGACGGGUAGCCGGCCUGAGAGGGCGACCGGCCACACUGGGACUGAGACACGGCCCAGACUCCUACGGGAGGCAGCAGUGGGGAAUAUUGCACAAUGGGCGAAAGCCUGAUGCAGCGACGCCGCGUGAGGGAUGACGGCCUUCGGGUUGUAAACCUCUUUCAGCAGGGAAGAAGCGAAAGUGACGGUACCUGCAGAAGAAGCGCCGGCUAACUACGUG